AGAGUUUGAUCCUGGCUCAGGACGAACGCUGGCGGUGUGCUUAACACAUGCAAGUCAAGGAGAACUUUAUCUUCGGAUAAAUAUUAAACUGGCGAACGGGUGAGUAACGCGUAAAUAACUUGCCUUGGAGAUUGGGAUAACAUUGGGAAACCAGUGCUAAUACCAAAUAAUGCAGCGGGCCCUUCGGGGCAUUUGUUGUUAAAGUAGGCUUCGGCUUACACUUUGAGAUAGAUUUGCGUCCGAUUAGUUUGUUGGUAGGGUAAUUGCCUACCAAGGCGAAGAUCGGUAGCUGGUCUGAGAGGAUGAUCAGCCACACUGGAAUUGAGAUACGGUCCAGACUCCUACGGGAGGCAGCAGUGAGGAAUUUUGCACAAUGGGCGAAAGCCUGAUGCAGCAACACCGCGUGAUUGAUGAAGUUUUUAGGAAUGUAAAAAUCUGUCGUAAGGGAAGAAAUGUUUCAGAUGUUAAUACCAUCUGUCAUUGACGGUACCUUACAAGAAAGGACCGGCUAACUUCGUGCCAGCAGCCGCGGUAAUACGAGGGGUCCUAGCGUUGUCCGGAUUUACUGGGCGUAAAGGGUACGUAGGCGUUUUAAAAAGUUAUGUGUUAAAUACUUUAGCUUAACUAAAGAAGUGCACAUAAAACUAUUAAAAUAGAGUUUGAGAGAGGAACGCAGAAUUCAUGGUGGAGCGGUGACAUGCGUAGAUAUCAUGAGGAAAGCCAAAUGCGAAGGCAGCCUUCUGGCUCAAAACUGACGCUGAGGUACGAAAGCGUGGGGAGCGAACAGGAUUAGAUACCCUGGUAGUCCACGCCGUAAACGAUGAGUAUUUGGUGCUGGGGGAUUCGACCCUUUCAGUGCCGUAGCUAACGCGAUAAAUACUCCGCCUGGGGACUACGAUCGCAAGAUUGAAACUCAAAGGAAU
rnacentral:rRNA from 1 species